ACACGUGUGCAACCUGCCUUUAUCUGGGGGAUAGCCUUUCGAAAGGAAGAUUAAUACCCCAUAAUAUACUGGAUGGCAUCAUUCGGUAUUGAAAACUCCGGUGGAUAGAGAUGGGCACGCGCAAGAUUAGAUAGUUGGUGAGGUAACGGCUCACCAAGUCUACGAUCUUUAGGGGGCCUGAGAGGGUGAUCCCCCACACUGGUACUGAGACACGGACCAGACUCCUACGGGAGGCAGCAGUGAGGAAUAUUGGACAAUGGGUGAGAGCCUGAUCCAGCCAUCCCGCGUGAAGGACGACGGCCCUAUGGGUUGUAAACUUCUUUUGUAUAGGGAUAAACCUACCCUCGUGAGGGUAGCUGAAGGUACUAUACGAAUAAGCACCGGCUAACUCCGUGCCAGCAGCCGCGGUAAUACGGAGGGUGCAAGCGUUAUCCGGAUUUAUUGGGUUUAAAGGGUCCGUAGGCGGAUCUGUAAGUCAGUGGUGAAAUCUCACAGCUUAACUGUGAAACUGCCAUUGAUACUGCAGGUCUUGAGUGUUGUUGAAGUAGCUGGAAUAAGUAGUGUAGCGGUGAAAUGCAUAGAUAUUACUUAGAACACCAAUUGCGAAGGCAGGUUACUAAGCAACAACUGACGCUGAUGGACGAAAGCGUGGGGAGCGAACAGGAUUAGAUACCCUGGUAGUCCACGCCGUAAACGAUGCUAACUCGUUUUUGGAAUGUAAGUUUCAGAGACUAAGCGAAAGUGAUAAGUUAGCCACCUGGGGAGUACGAACGCAAGUUUGAAACUCAAAGGAAUUGACGGGGGCCCGCACAAGCGGUGGAUUAUGUGGUUUAAUUCGAUGAUACGCGAGGAACCUUACCAAGGCUUAAAUGGGAAAUGACAGGUUUAGAAAUAGACUUUUCUUCGGACAUUUUUCAAGGUGCUGCAUGGUUGUCGUCAGCUCGUGCCGUGAGGUGUUAGGUUAAGUCCUGCAACGAGCGCAACCCCUGUCACUAGUUGCCAUCAUUAAGUUGGGGACUCUAGUGAGACUGCCUACGCAAGUAGAGAGGAAGGUGGGGAUGACGUCAAAUCAUCACGGCCCUUACGCCUUGGGCCACACACGUAAUACAAUGGCCGGUACAGAGGGCAGCUACACUGCGAAGUGAUGCAAAUCUCGAAAGCCGGUCUCAGUUCGGAUUGGAGUCUGCAACUCGACUCUAUGAAGCUGGAAUCGCUAGUAAUCGCGCAUCAGCCAUGGCGCGGUGAAUACGUUCCCGGGCCUUGUACACACCG
rnacentral:rRNA from 1 species